rnacentral:rRNA from 1 species
UACGUAGGGGGCGAGCGUUGUCCGGAUUUAUUGGGCGUAAAGAGCUCGUAGGCGGUUUGGUAAGUUGGAUGUGAAAUCUCCAGGCUCAACUUGGAGGGGUCAUUCGAUACUGCCAUGACUAGAGUUCGGUAGGGGAGUGUGGAAUUCCUGGUGUAGCGGUGAAAUGCGCAGAUAUCAGGAAGAACACCCGUGGCGAAGGCGGCUCUCUGGGACGGUACUGACACUGAGACGCGAAAGCGUGGGGAGCGAACAGG